AAUUUCCGCUGAUUUAUCUGGCUUCUGGAAGCAUUCUCUUCUGGUUUUCCCUCAGGCAGCUUUUUGUUUAAGUAGCUCUUUCUAUCAUAGAAUCUUCACUAUGACAUCAUAUUCUAUGGACAGAGAUAUAAGACACUGGAGGGAGAGUGAACACAUUGUUUUCUAUCAAGACAAACUUUUUUGUGGCAGGUUACAAUGGACCUUUAAAUGCUUGAUUAAAUCAGGAAAUAAACAGGCAAGACACAAUUUGUACCUGGAUCCUUUGACUAGAGUCAAUUUUUCUACAUACCUCAAUGAAGACAACUUGGACAGCCGUUUAAAAUGGGCCUAACCAUCAUGGAUAUUCAGUCCAAUCCAUCAGAAUUUUCUUGAAUGUGUCUAUUUGGUAUCUGUCCUGCUUUUGGAGAUCUCAUGCAUGGCAACCCAAGUGAUACCUGGAAACAUGUGAGCAGCCAACAGUCCCAUUACCAAUUAUAGAUCACAAUAGAGAAAGGAGCUGGAGAAAAAGAAAUAGCUAUCUAACUAAUGGGUGUUGCUGAAUGUUUUGAGAGGUAAGUAAUAGUAUAACUUACUCAGGGAUAUUAAGUGACUUUCUAUGGUUACACA